UACCAGCACCCCGAGUGGUCGGGACGUUUAUUGGGCCUAAAGCAUCCGUAGCCGGUUCUACAAGUCUUCCGUUAAAUCCACCUGCUUAACAGAUGGGCUGCGGAAGAUACUAUAGAGCUAGGAGGCGGGAGAGGCAAGCGGUACUCGAUGGGUAGGGGUAAAAUCCGUUGAUCCAUUGAAGACCACCAGUGGCGAAGGCGGAUCUCUGGGCCUUACCUGACGCUGAGGCGCGAAAGCUAGGGGAGCGAACAGG
rnacentral:rRNA from 1 species